rnacentral:misc_RNA from 1 species
GUACUUUUUAGCGCACGCCAAGCAGUUAGAGCAGCAAAAGGGAUAGCACUGGCUUCCACAUGUGAAAGUGAUCCCGGCUUUGGAGCAAGUUCAUCUUCCGCAAGAAUAGCAUAGUCAGUAUAAGUACCCCUCACAGCGGUUGGAUGCAGAGCACCAAAUACAUCCUGCCCAACUGUAAGUGACUUGACAGAAUUUCCAACAGCUGCAACUUCACCACUUAUAUCUCGGCCCAAAAUCAAUGGUAGAAGUGGUUCAAAAAUUGAACGUCCAUAGCCUGAUCGCAUUCUGGUAUCAAGCGGAUUGAUUGAAACAGCACGAGCACGAACAAGCACUUGAUUAGGUUUUAGAUCAGGAACAGAUACAUUGUCACGAAACUCAAGCAUCUCCGGUCCACCAAAUCGCGGCAACAACACAGCUCUACAGCUUGUAACAAUACCUCUUUUGCCAAAACCUAAAUUCGAAAUUCCUCCAUCACCAGUACCAAUCUCAAUCCUCCGAUAUCUCAAUCGGAUCAUUGUUUUGCAAAGAAAUUGAGCAGCAAAUUCAGUGAUUUGGGGAAAAUGGAUGCAUAUUGUUGAAUGGUUCAGUGAAAGAGUGUACAUG